UACGUAGGGGGCAAGCGUUGUCCGGAUUUAUUGGGCGUAAAGAGCGUGUAGGCGGCCAGAUAGGUCCGUUGUGAAAACUCGAGGCUCAACCUCGAGACGCCGAUGGAAACCAUUUGGCUAGAGUCCGGAAGAGGAGAGUGGAAUUCCUGGUGUAGCGGUGAAAUGCGCUGAUAUCAGGAAGAACACCCGUGGCUAAGGCGGCUCUCUAGUACGGUACUGACGCUGAGACGCGAAAGCGUGGGGAGCGAACAGG
rnacentral:rRNA from 1 species